UCCUACGGGAGGCAGCAGUGGGGGAUAUUGCACAAUGGAGGAAACUCUGAUGCAGCGACGCCGCGUGAGGGAAGAAGGCCUUCGGGUUGUAAACCUCUGUCUUCGGGGACGAACAAAUGACGGUACCCGAGGAGGAAGCCACGGCUAACUACGUGCCAGCAGCCGCGGUAAUA
rnacentral:rRNA from 1 species